rnacentral:sRNA from 1 species
CCGCGUCUGGGCCGCCAUCAGGGACAAGUACCGGUCCGAGGCACUGCCCACCGACCUUCCAGCACCUUCUGCCCCUGACUUGACGGAGCCCAAGGAGGAGCAGCCGCCAGUGCCCUCGUCGCCCACAGAGGAGGAGGAGGAGGAGGAGGAGGAGGAAGAAGAGGAGGCUGAAGAAGAGGAGGAGGAGGAGGAUUCCGAGGUGCAGGGGGAGCAGCCCAAGGUCCGUGUUUGGGGGAGAAGUGGAGACAGAGAGGGUGGGGGAAGGGCUACUCACUGACCCUGCCCCUUCCCCAGGAGGCCCCACCGCCACUGUCACCCCCGCAGCCGGCCAGCCCUGCUGAGGAAGACAAAAUGCCGCCCUACGACGAGCAGACACAGGCCUUCAUCGAUGCUGCCCAGGAGGCCCGCAACAAGUUCGAGGAGGCUGAGCGGUCGCUGAAGGACAUGGAGGAGUCCAUCAGGUAGCGGGGGCUGAGGAGCGGGGACACCUGUCCCACAGCGCCUGCUCCUUGGCUCCCAGGGGAGCUGGUGAUGGGGAAUCACUGAGGCAACCACAGGCUGGGCCUGGUCCCUGC